UUCGUGUGAACAGUGGUUGAUCACGAGUUAGUCGGUCCUAAGUUCAAGGCGAAAGCCGAAAAUUUUCAAGUAAAUAUUUGGAAUUAUAUAUAUAUGUUAUUAUUAUAAACUUGAAUAAUUUUGAACGAAAGGGAAUACGGUUCCAAUUCCGUAACCUGUUGAGUAUCCGUUUGUUAUUAAAUAUGGGCCUCGUGCUCAUCCUGGCAACAGGAACGACCAUAAAGAAGCCGUCGAGAGAUAUCGGAAGAGUUUUCUUUUCUGUUUUAUAGCCGUACUACCAUGGAAGUCUUUCGCAGAGAGAUAUGGUAGAUGGGCUAGAAGAGCAUGACAUAUACUGUUGUGUCGAUAUUUUCUCCUCGGACCUUGAAAAUUUAUGGUGGGGAUACGCAAACUUCUCAACAGGCCGUACCAAUAUCCGCAGCUGGUCUCCAAGGUGAAGAGUCUCUAGUCGAUAGAAUA
rnacentral:rRNA from 1 species